AUUGAACGCUGGCGGCAGGCCUAACACAUGCAAGUCGAGCGGAUGACGGGAGCUUGCUCCUUGAUUCAGCGGCGGACGGGUGAGUAACACCUAGGAAUCUGCCUGGUAGUGGGGGACAACGUUUCGAAAGGAACGCUAAUACCGCAUACGUCCUACGGGAGAAAGCAGGGAACCUUCGGGCCUUGCGCUAUCAGAUGAGCCUAGGUCGGAUUAGCUAGUUGGUGGGGUAAUGGCUCACCAAGGCGACGAUCCGUAACUGGUCUGAGAGGAUGAUCAGUCACACUGGAAAUGAGACACGGUCCAGACUCCUACGGGAGGCAGCAGUGGGGAAUAUUGGACAAUGGGCGAAAGCCUGAUCCAGCCACGCCGCGUGUGUGAAGAAGGUCUUCGGAUUGUAAAGCACUUUAAGUUGGGAGGAAGGGCAGUAAGCUAAUACCUUGCUGUUUUGACGUUACCGACAGAAUAAGCACCGGCUAACUCUGUGCCAGCCGCCGCGGUAAUAC
rnacentral:rRNA from 1 species